ACGGAGGGGGCUAGUGUUACUCAACUUGACUGGGCGUAAAGGGCGUGAAGGUGGUAUAACGCGCUUUUUUGUAAAUGCUCAAGCACAAUUUGAGAAGCUUAAAAAUACGGUUAUGCUUGAGUUUAUUUGAAGAAGGUUGUACUUCUAGUGUAGAGGUGAAAUUUGCAAAAAUUAGAAGGACAGUCUACGGGCGAAAGCGACCUACUACUAUAAACUGACACUAUAGCGCAAAAGCAUAGGUAGCAAACGGGA
rnacentral:rRNA from 1 species